GCUCCCGGAUGUUAGCGGCGGACGGGUGAGUAACACGUGGGUAACCUGCCUGUAAGACUGGGAUAACUCCGGGAAACCGGAGCUAAUACCGGAUAGUUCCUUGAACCGCAUGGUUCAAGGAUGAAAGACGGUUUCGGCUGUCACUUACAGAUGGACCCGCGGCGCAUUAGCUAGUUGGUGAGGUAACGGCUCACCAAGGCGACGAUGCGUAGCCGACCUGAGAGGGUGAUCGGCCACACUGGGACUGAGACACGGCCCAGACUCCUACGGGAGGCAGCAGUAGGGAAUCUUCCGCAAUGGACGAAAGUCUGACGGAGCAACGCCGCGUGAGUGAUGAAGGUUUUCGGAUCGUAAAGCUCUGUUGUUAGGGAAGAACAAGUGCAAGAGUAACUGCUUGCACCUUGACGGUACCUAACCAGAAAGCCACGGCUAACUACGUGCCAGCAGCCGCGGUAAUACGUAGGUGGCAAGCGUUGUCCGGAAUUAUUGGGCGUAAAGGGCUCGCAGGCGGUUUCUUAAGUCUGAUGUGAAAGCCCCCG
rnacentral:rRNA from 1 species